rnacentral:rRNA from 1 species
GAUGAACGCUGGCGGCGUGCCUAAUACAUGCAAGUCGAGCGAACAGACGAGGAGCUUGCUCCUUUGACGUUAGCGGCGGACUGGUGAGUAACACGUGGAUGAGCUACUUAUAUGACUGGGAUCACUUCGGGAAACCGGGGCUAGUACCGGAUUAUCUCUUGAACCGCAUGGUUCAAUAGUGAUUGACGGUUUUGCUGUCACUCAUAGCUGGCUCCGGGCCGUAUUAGCUAGUUGGUAAGGUAACGGCUUACCAAGGCAACGAUCAGUGGCAGACCGGAGAGGUGGACCGGCCACCUUGGAACUGGACCACGGUCCAGCCUCCUACGGGAGGCACCAGUAGGGAAUCUCCCGCAAUGGGCGAAGGCCUGCCGGAGCAACCCCGCGUGAGUGAUGAAGGUCUCGGGAUCGUAAAACCCUGUUUUUAGGGAGAAACAAAUGGGUAAUUGACUGUGCACGUCUUGACGGUACCUAAUCAGAAAGCCACGGCUAACUACGUG